rnacentral:rRNA from 1 species
AUUGAACGCUGGCGGCAGGCUUAACACAUGCAAGUCGAGCGGAGAGAGGUAGCUUGCUACUGAUCUUAGCGGCGGACGGGUGAGUAAUGCUUAGGAAUCUGCCUAUUAGUGGGGGACAACAUUUCGAAAGGAAUGCUAAUACCGCAUACGCCCUACGGGGGAAAGCAGGGGAUCACUUGUGACCUUGCGCUAAUAGAUGAGCCUAAGUCGGAUUAGCUAGUUGGUGGGGUAAAGGCCUACCAAGGCGACGAUCUGUAGCGGGUCUGAGAGGAUGAUCCGCCACACUGGGACUGAGACACGGCCCAGACUCCUACGGGAGUCAGCAGUGGGGAAUAUUGGACAAUGGGGGGACCCCUGAUCCAGCCAUGCCGCGUGUGUGAAGAAGGCCUUAUGGUUGUAAAGCACUUUAAGCGAGGAGGAGGCUUACCUAGCUAAUAUCUAGGCUAAGUGGACGUUACUCGCAGAAUAAGCACCGGCUAACUCUGUGCCAGCCGCCGCCGUAAGAC